rnacentral:misc_RNA from 1 species
GAUGAAGAACGUAGCGAAAUGCGAUACGUAAUGUGAAUUGCAGAAUUCAGUGAAUCAUCGAGUCUUUGAACGCACAUUGCGCCCCCUGGUAUUCCGGGGGGCAUGCCUGUCCGAGCGUCAUUGCUGCCCUCAAGCACGGCUUGUGUGUUGGGCCUCCGUCCUCCUCCCGGGGGACGGGCCCGAAAGGCAGCGGCGGCACCGCGUCCGGUCCUCGAGCGUAUGGGGCUUCGUCACCCGCUCUUGUAGGCCCGGUCGGCGCUUGCCGACACAUCAAUCUUUUUUCCAGGUGGACCUCGGAUCAGGUAGGGAUACCCGCUGAACUUAAGCAUAUCAAUAAGCGGAGGA